rnacentral:piRNA from 1 species
UCUUGACAGAGUGGUCGUGGUCAUGC